GAUGAAGAACGUAGCGAAAUGCGAUAAGUAGUGUGAAUUGCAGAAUUCAGUGAAUCAUCGAAUCUUUGAACGCACAUUGCGCCCUUUGGUAUUCCUUAGGGCAUGCCUGUUCGAGCGUCAUCUAAACCUUCAAGCCCUGCUUGGUGUUGGGUGCCUGUCCCGCCUCUGCGCGUGGACUCACCUCAAAUCCAUUGGCGGCCCCCGCGUCGGCCACGAGCGCAGCAGAGACGCGAACUCGUGAGCCCGUCCGGGCGGCUCCCAGAAGCUAACCCCCAAUUUUUGACCUCGGAUCAGGUAGGGAUACCCGCUGAACUUAAGCAUAUCAAUAAGCGGAGGA
rnacentral:misc_RNA from 1 species